AUUGAACGCUGGCGGCAGGCCUAACACAUGCAAGUCGAACGAGUGGCGGACGGGUGAGUAAUGUCUGGGAAACUGCCCGAUGGAGGGGGAUAACUACUGGAAACGGUAGCUAAUACCGCAUACUAUCGGAUGUGCCCAGAUGGGAUUAGCUAGUAGGUUGGGUAACGGCUCACCUAGGCGACGAUCCCUAGCUGGUCUGAGAGGAUGACGAGCAACACUGGAACGGAGACACGGUCAAGACUCCUAGGGGAGGCAGCGGUGGGGAAUAUUGCACAAUGGGCGCAAGCCUGAUGCAGCCAUGCCGCGUGUAUGAAGAAGGCCUUCGGGUUGUAAAGUACUUUCAGCGAGAAGGCGUUACUCGCAGAAGAAGCACCGGCUAACUCCGUGCCAGCAGCCGCGGUAAUAC
rnacentral:rRNA from 1 species